rnacentral:rRNA from 1 species
UUCCAGCUCCAAUAGCGUAUAUUAAAGUUGUUGCGGUUAAAAAGCUCGUAGUCGAAUCUGUGUCCCACGCCGCCGGUUCAUCGUCCGCGGUGUUAACUGGCGUGCCGUGGGACGUCCUGCCGGUGGGCUUAGCUCGAAAGGGCGGCCCAACUCAAUCCCGCCGCGGUGCUCUUCACUGAGUGUCGAGGUGGGCCGGCACGUUUACUUUGAACAAAUUAGAGUGCUUAAAGCAGGCUAAAACUUCGCCUGAAUACUGUGUGCAUGGAAUAAUGGAAUAGGACCUCGGUUCUAUUUUGUUGGUUUUCGGAACCCCGAGGUAAUGAUUAAUAGGAACGGAUGG